rnacentral:rRNA from 1 species
UGAAGCCAAGCUUGCUUGGUGGAUCAGUGGCGAACGGGUGAGUAACACGUGAGCAACCUGCCCUGGACUCUGGGAUAAGCGCUGGAAACGGCGUCUAAUACUGGAUAUGAGACGUGAUCGCAUGGUCGUGUUUGGAAAGAUUUUUCGGUCUGGGAUGGGCUCGCGGCCUAUCAGCUUGUUGGUGAGGUAAUGGCUCACCAAGGCGUCGACGGGUAGCCGGCCUGAGAGGGUGACCGGCCACACUGGGACUGAGACACGGCCCAGACUCCUACGGGAGGCAGCAGUGGGGAAUAUUGCACAAUGGGCGAAAGCCUGAUGCAGCAACGCCGCGUGAGGGAUGACGGCCUUCGGGUUGUAAACCUCUUUUAGCAGGGAAGAAGCGAAAGUGACGGUACCUGCAGAAAAAGCGCCGGCUAACUACGUGCCAGCAGCCGCGGUAAUACGUAGGGCGCAAGCGUUAUCCGGAAUUAUUGGGCGUAAAGAGCUCGUAGGCGGUUUGUCGCGUCUGCUGUGAAAUCCCGAGGCUCAACCUCGGGCCUGCAGUGGGUACGGGCAGACUAGAGUGCGGUAGGGGAGAUUGGAAUUCCUGGUGUAGCGGUGGAAUGCGCAGAUAUCAGGAGGAACACCGAUGGCGAAGGCAGAUCUCUGGGCCGUAACUGACGCUGAGGAGCGAAAGGGUGGGGAGCAAACAGGCUUAGAUACCCUGGUAGUCCACCCCGUAAACGUUGGGAACUAGUUGUGGGGACCAUUCCACGGUUUCCGUGACGCAGCUAACGCAUUAAGUUCCCCGCCUGGGG